rnacentral:rRNA from 1 species
UACGUAGGGUGCAAGCGUUAAUCGGAAUUACUGGGCGUAAAGCGUGCGCAGGCGGUUAUGCAAGACAGGUGUGAAAUCCCCGAGCUCAACUUGGGAACUGCACUUGUGACUGUAUAGCUAGAGUACGGUAGAGGGGGAUGGAAUUCCGCGUGUAGCAGUGAAAUGCGUAGAUAUGCGGAGGAACACCGAUGGCGAAGACAAUCCCCUGGACCUGUACUGACGCUCAUGCACGAAAGCGUGGGGAGCAAACAGG